rnacentral:rRNA from 1 species
UGGGGAAUUUUGGACAAUGGGCGAAAGCCUGAUCCAGCAAUGCCGCGUGUGUGAAGAAGGCCUUCGGGUUGUAAAGCACUUUUGUCCGGAAAGAAAUCCUUGGCUCUAAUACAGUCGGGGGAUGACGGUACCGGAAGAAUAAGCACCGGCUAACUACGUGCCAGCAGCCGCGGUAAUACGUAGGGUGCAAGCGUUAAUCGGAAUUACUGGGCGUAAAGCGUGCGCAGGCGGUUUGCUAAGACCGAUGUGAAAUCCCCGGGCUCAACCUGGGAACUGCAUUGGUGACUGGCAGGCUAGAGUAUGGCAGAGGGGGGUAGGAAUUCCACGUGUAGCAGUGAAAUGCGUAGAGAUGUGGAGGAAUACCGAUGGCGAAGGCAGCCCCCUGGGCCAAUACUGACGCUCAUGCACGAAAGCGUGGGGAGCAAACAGGAUUAGAUACCCUGGUAGUCCACGCCCUAAACGAUGUCAACUAGUUGUUGGGGAUUCAUUUGCCUUAGUAACGUAGCUAACGCGUGAAG